rnacentral:rRNA from 1 species
GACGUAGGGCGCGAGCGUUGUCCGGAUUUAUUGGGCGUAAAGAGCUCGUAGGCGGCUUGUCGCGUCGACCGUGAAAACCUGGGGCUCAACCCCAAGCCUGCGGUCGAUACGGGCAGGCUCGAGUUCGGUAGGGGAGACUGGAAUUCCUGGUGUAGCGGUGAAAUGCGCAGAUAUCAGGAGGAACACCGAUGGCGAAGGCAGGUCUCUGGGCCGAUACUGACGCUGAGGAGCGAAAGCGUGGGGAGCGAACAGG